CAGAAAAUCGCUGUCACGUGCACUUUGGGAUUUGGACUCAAUUAUACAGACUAUGAGCAUUUCUGAAAAUGGUCAUACAUGGGCUGUGUAACACUGUUGCUUGGUGACGGAGCCACUUGAGUGCCCAGCUGCCGUCCAUUCGGUACCCUUAUCCCACCCGGUGGAAUGCUGUCAAAAGAAACAUCACUGCAAUGCCUGAUAAACUGACAUGGGUCCCAGACCCAAUAAGAGUGAAACCAUCCCCCUAUUUAAAUGAAAUUAUGGCUGAUGAGAAGGACAAAUUAAUUGCUCUGCCCCAAUAUUACACAAAACUUUGGAUGUUGCCAUUGUUACAAUUUUAUUUUCCCCAGGAUCUCAGAGUCCCACCUUCAUUCUUUUUGUUUAGUGUCUCAGCUGGGUCUCCACCUGUAGAAGACUAGAAUGAGCACAAACUAUGUCUUCAAUGAUCUGUAAAUCCAACAGGAAACAAUGUAAUAAAUAUACUGUGUUUGCUAAC